ensembl:lncRNA
ACGUUGACUUUCACUGUUGAAAUGCAAAGUAAAUGCAAUUAAUGACUAUUUCUUCUUUCUUUUUAUCAAAAGGGGAAGGGGACAAGGACAUGUUGCAAGUCAUAAUCAAACCUGCGUUUCCCACAAGAGCACCAGGGCUAUGACGAAUGGGAUCUAAUACUAAGGAGGAGGACAGGGGCCAGUCGUCCGGAUUCACAGGGCAGCACAACCUGCUCCAGCCCAGCCUCAGCUCAUUAGCCAGCCCUGCUAAAAUGGAGGUGUCUUCACUUCCAAAGCCUCUGCUUUGACAUUCACACAGUGCUUCCAGUCGAUCAGUGUGUCGAAGUAAAGAUCACCACUGUAAGUGAAACUUUUGAGGCAAUUACCUUGACAAGUAAGUGAU